CGGGUGACGAGUGGCGGACGGGUGAGUAAUGUCUGGGAAACUGCCUGAUGGAGGGGGAUAACUACUGGAAACUGGGGCUAAUACCGGAUAGGAGCUCCUGCUGCAUGGUGGGGGUUGGAAAGUUUCGGCGGUUGGGGAUGGACUCGCGGCUUAUCAGCUUGUUGGUGGGGUGAUGGCCUACCAAGGCUUUGACGGGUAGCCGGCCCGAGAGGGUGACCGGUCACAUUGGGACUGAGAUACGGCCCAG
rnacentral:rRNA from 1 species